GCACGACCGGGAACCUGUGCACGAUGCC
rnacentral:sRNA from 1 species